CACUGCCUGAGGGAGGGGACAUCGCCAUCAGCCGUGGCCUCCUGAGGGACCUUCACACCUCCUCUGCUCUCACAGCAGUUCCCCCAACACCCCAGCUGCGAGGUUUGACCGGGAGCUUAUCAGCACUGUGCUGGCCUGGAGCCUCGCGCCUCGAGCAGCUCUCACAGGGUUCUCUACGUGUGUGCAGACACCAGCUCAUGGACCCUGUGCCAGUAGAUGGUGCUCAAGAAUGCACAGCCCCAGGUUGCUGCCAGAUAUCUGGAGUAAAUCAGACAGUUUGAUUGGUGUUUGGGGUUGGUUGAUGGGGAUUUGGGGUUUUUUUGGUGCUCUAUCCUGGAGGCCCAACAGGAUGGGAAAUACCUCUGGGUGUUGUGCAACUGGUUGCACUGGACCUCACAGGAUGUGGGAAGGUGGUGCUCCUUUUUGCUUGGGCUAAACCACAUCCCUUGGAAUAGGUCCACGUCAGGAAUGAAGAGGUCACUUGUCCUUUAUCUGUCCAUCAGAAGCCUGCACUUCUGACUUACCUGACACCAGUGAAAGCAGCUGUUCACUGCUGAUGAUUUCCUCUAACAGCUUUUAAUCUUAGAUAUUAACCUUGGCCACCUUCUGGCUCACAGUGCUGUUGUGAGGCUGCAGGAUUUGGGAAGGUUUGCCCAGCCUGACCCGCAGGUGGGACUUGGUGUGUGAGAUUCCUGUGUGCUGGUGCUGCCUCUCUAGCAAGACACAUACGGGCCCGCUGCCAUCAUGUCACUUCAUGAAUAGCUUCAUGUCACACCGUGUUAGCAUCAGCAGGGCUGGGGAUGAUGUAAAGCAGCAAAUAAAGAGCAAAUGAAAGCCUGCAGCACAAAGAAAUUAAUUCAGAGCAUCCCAGAAAUAUCCUCUCCAGGGUCCUUUCUAAGGCUGGUGUUCUCCAAAGCUGCGAGUCAAGCACCUAUUUUCCACUGCAUUUUAUGCACUUAUGGAAAUUCCAGUUGGCAGCUUGGGGAAAGGGAAGAAAAAGAGGCAACACUACCUCUUUGACUAACCUAUGUCUGGAUUUUUCCAAAGGCAGUAAUUGGUCAUUCCAAGCAGAACUGGAGUAUUUUGGAGCAGUACUUUGGGCAACGUUGCCUACCACAGGUUGUUCAUCAUCACAUCCAUGCAGUGCAGUGGAACCACACACAGCUCGAAGGCUGCAGAUGCACAGAAGGAGAUUCCCUCAGUUCCAUCUCGGCUCUUUUGAAGUAUUUGGAGGCAGACUGACUUAACUGGGCUCUUUGGGUGUCAGAGGGAUGUUAGUGGAGUCUCUUAAAACUGAUUAAUUGCCUUCAUUAGGAGUUGUACAGUAAACAAGCAGUGAUAGUGCAGAAAAUUCAUCGCCAGUCAACAGAAAUGAAAAGCCCAGAGCAAACAUAACAAGCGAUAACUAAUUAUCAACACAUGCCCUAGUUGCUUAAUAGCUCUUUCCCUGAGAUUUGCAGUUGGUGUCUGUAAGUGCUGCUCGAGGAUCAGCCCCUCCUUGCCUGUGCUUCCCAGUAUCGCACUGAUGACAGCCUGAAAGCAAUUUUCUCAAUGUAUUUGUUAACACAUACAGAAAGAGAUUUUUCUUGACUGAGAAGCUCAGUCCAAGUAAAAUUCUGACUGGUCCAGCUCCUUCCUCGAGGAGCUCGACACAGCCCCUUGCACCGAGCCAGGCUUUGCCUGCUGAGCUCGCUCAGCUGCUGGGGUCAGACCAAAUCUGUUUGGCCGUGUUCAGACCUGAAAUGGAGGCAAUUUCGAGAUGCUCAGCACUUCUCAGAAUCAAUCCCCUCUGCUCACGGAGAAAAUACGCUCUGGACCUGAUCAACCCUGUACUUGUAUCCACAUAGAACUGUAGCAUCCUCUGUUCACUUUGCAUUAAACAGCCACAAAACACCGA